rnacentral:rRNA from 1 species
GCUUAAAAUCCAAAGGACUUGACGGUGUCCCACCCCACUAGAGGAGCCUGUUCUAUAAUCGAUAACCCCCGCUAUACCUCACCAUUUCUCGCUUCUAUGCAGCCUGUAUACCUCCGUCGUAAGCUCACCAUAUGAAUGAUCUAUAGUAGGCCUAAUGACUUCUACGCCAAUACGUCAGGUCAAGGUGCAGCCUAUGAAAUGGUAAGCAAUGGGCUACAAUUUCUAACCUAGAACAAACGAACAACCAUCUGAAACUAUGGUCAAGAAGGUGGAUUUAGUAGUAAAAGGGGAAAAUAGUGCCCCUUUUAACAGCGGCCAUGGGACACGUACAAACCGCCCGUCACCCUCUUCAACAGCUUAUUUUAGUUAAUAACACCACAUCUGCGCCUUAGAAGAGGCAAGUCGUAACAUGGUAAGCGUACUGGAAAGUGCACUUAGAUAAGCAAAAUGUAGCUUAGAAAAGCCCUCCGCUUACACCGGAAAGUCAUCCGUUAAAUCCAGAUCAUUUUGAGCCAUACCUCUAG